AUCUCCAAAACGAGAAGCAAAAAAGUGUAUAUGCUAGUUCUGUUAAUGAGAAGUUGCUGUAUGAAUGUUCAAUUCUCCAAAAACGGCUUGAAGAAUCAAGUGUAAACUUCCUGGUUGAAGAGGAAGACAAAUUAGUUCUGGAUACUUCACCAUCAGAUGCUAUCGAUCUUCUUACCACGUCUGAUAAUCGAAUUGAUCUUCUUCUGGCUGAGUGUUAUAUAUAGUACAAGAUGACUUAUCGAAGCAAGAGAACAAGGGAAAUACUUGCUGCCACAGCUAAGUCACAAGAUCCAAAAUCAUCACAGUCACCAAAGACAACUGCAUCUAAGUUUCAUGAUCCACUAUCAUAUGUAAGUGAAUUUGCUUCCAAACCAACCAAAAAACAAGUUGUUCAGUCACCACUAGUUGAGGUUCUUAAGAAUGAUAAGUGGGGGCCAUUUUUUCCACUUUAUACAACUACAAAAUGCACACAACCACACCUAGCAAACUAGGAUCUAUUUAGAAAAAACCUCCACCUAUUGUACCACAUUCAAAUAAACUCAACUCCCUUAACAACCCUUUAGCUUCCUCUCCUACUUCUCACCCACCACUUCAGCAUCCUCAACCUGGGAAGGGAGGUUCUUAGAACCUUGGUACUAGUGCUGUGAAAACUUUGGCAUCAACUCCUAUUUCUCACCAACCACUUCAGCAUCCUCAACCUGGGAAGGGAGGUUCUCAGAACCUUGGUACUAGUGCUGUGAAAACUUCGGCAGCAACUCCUAUUUCUCACCAACUACUUCAGCAUCCUCAACCUGGGAAGGGAGGUUCUAAGAAAACUUCAGCAGCAACUCCACAGUUUAAUCAAACACAUCAAAAAAGUGAUGAAACUUCCAAUGAUAUCUCGAAAAAAAACUAAGUCUCUACAACCAAAGUCACUUGCCGAUUGGCCUGUAGACAUAGAUUUUGAUGAUAAGGAGGAGGUUUUGACCAUAGACGCCAAUGGUAAUACUACAUUGGUGAGUGGUAUAAUUCUGCCAAUUGACGUUUGGAGCAAUAGUGACCUCAAGUACUAUGUUGAAUUCAAUGAUCUAUGCCAACCGAUUAGGAAAGGUGGACAUAUAUUGGUUAAUUCAUUGGUAUGAUUGCAAAGAUGGAGACUCAUUGUCCACUUGGAGAAAAAAAUUGGCAUGCAAUCGACAACCAUAUAAAAGGAAGGAUAGUUACGGAUAUGAGAGACCACUUUGUGAUUCCUAAUGGUGUGGAAUAUGACAACCAAGCUCUCAAGCGUGCCAAUAAAU